UACAGAGGUCCCGAGCGUUGUUCGGAAUCACUGGGCGUAAAGGGCGCGUAGGCGGCCUGGGAAGUCGGCUUUGUGAAAGCCCGGGGCUCAACCCCGGAGGUGCGGCCGAGACUCCUUGGCUGGAGGCCGGAAGAGGAGGGUGGAAUACCCAGUGUAGAGGUGAAAUUCGUAGAUAUUGGGUGGAACACCGGUGGCGAAAGCGGCUCUCUGGUCCGGACCUGACGCUGAGGCGCGAAAGCGUGGGGAGCAAACAGG
rnacentral:rRNA from 1 species